CGGUGUUCAACUGGCGUGUCCGCGGGACGUCCUGCCGGUGGGCUUAGCCCGCAAGGGCGGCCCAACUUCAAAUCCCAUCGCGGUGCUCUUCACUGAGUGUCGAGGUGGGCCGGCACGUUUACUUUGAACAAAUUAGAGUGCUUAAAGCAGGCUAAAACUUCGCCUGAAUACUGUGUGCAUGGAAUAAUGGAAUAGGACCUCGGUUCUAUUUUGUUGGUUUUCGGAACCCCGAGGUAAUGAUUAAUAGGAACAGAUGGGGGCAUUCGUAUUGCGACGUUAGAGGUGAAAUUCUUGGAUCGUCGCAAGACGGACAGAAGCGAAAGCAUUUGCCAAAAACGCUUUCAUUGAUCAAGAACGAAAGUUAGAGGUUCGAAGGCGAUCAGAUACCGCCCUAGUUCUAACCAUAAACGAUGCCAGCUAGCGAUCCGUCGACGUUCCUCCGAUGACUCGACGGGCAGCUUCCGGGAAACCAAAGCUUUUGGGUUCCGGGGGAAGUAUGGUUGCAAAGCUGAAACUUAAAGGAAUUGACGGAAGGGCACCACCAGGAGUGGAGCCUGCGGCUUAAUUUGACUCAACACGGGAAACCUCACCAGGCCCGGACACCGGAAGGAUUGACAGAUUGAGAGCUCUUUCUUGAUUCGGUGGGUGGUGGUGCAUGGCCGUUCUUAGUUGGUGGAGCGAUUUGUCUGGUUAAUUCCGAUAACGAACGAGACUCUAGCCUGCUAACUAGGCGUAUUUUCGACAUCUCAAAGGUCCGUCGUCCCGGCCCUCGGGUCGUGGGCGUGCGCGAUUUUUACUGUCGGCGUACUAUCAAUUCUUCUUAGAGGGACAGGUGGCUUCUAGCCGCACGAGAUUGAGCAAUAACAGGUCUGUGAUG
rnacentral:rRNA from 1 species